rnacentral:lncRNA from 1 species
UUUCACUUCUCAGCAAUUGAUAUAAAGAAGUUUGGUUUUUCCAAAUGGCAAUUAUUCCAAGAUAUCUAGUUUUACAUGGUACUUAGUAAGAGAAGUCACAAAUGAGUUUUAAAAAUUAUAAAACAAGAAUUUAGAACUGGAAAUUUUUAUAUUAGAGCUACUCUUGAAAGAGCAAGUCUACUUUAGUACCUCAGACUAACUGCAAACUGCAGAAACCCAUGAGCAAUUCCACAAGCAGAAGACAUUCCGCUAUUUUCCCAGGACAAGGAAGCUGAAGCUUGGGAAAGGCAGAAAGAACUCCACAUUGCUUCGAAGCACCCCUGGCAGUUGAUAAUGGAGAGAUGUUGGCAGUGAUUAUGGAGGCAGAUGCUUACCUGUACUCCUACAGUGUACAAUCUUGGCUUGAUGACAAGACAGUUGAGAGAAAAGAAAAGCAAGAUCAUGUCCACUCUGGAGAACACAAUUGAAAAGGAAGCCAUUUUCAAUAUCAGUAACUUGAGAAGAAACUGUUGGGGGAAAAAAAGCAAGAUUGUUUGCAUCUGGAGUGGACCAUUGUCAUUGUCGGGAACAAGACUCACAGCUUGAUGAGCAGUACGUAGGUCCACGCUGGGGAUCCGAAUCUUCAAACCCUGGGUCACUGAAGUGGAGCACAAGAAUUUAACCAGGCUGGCCCUGGUACAAGAUAUUUUUGAAGAAAAUUUGG